AGCAGUGCGCCUUGCCUUGUGACGGAGGGAUCCCAGACGAUCAGCAGCCUGUCUUCAGGAAGAAGACUUUCCUGAAAUGAACAAAUGUUAUUCCCAGCAUGAAAAUCAUGCAGAAAAAUUCUGCAAGAUUAAAAAGAUCUGCAAUCCACCUGGAAUUGACUUUUAGGUAUGAUGCAAAAUAGGGGUUUUUUUUUCCCUAUGCAUUGCAGUGUCACCUUUAGCAUAUAUCAGGGCUGCACAUGAUACUUCUGAAGGCCUCAGACAUUCCUUCUAACCCCAAUUUUUUUUUAUAUCUGCAUCUCCUACCAGCCUAAGGCAUGAACCUCAAGCAGCAUUUAGGAAAUCACCCUGUCCUGGACCAGUGAGAAGCAAUUGUACAGCAACCCAAUCCUGUUCACAGUGGCUUUGCAAAACCACCUCGAUUCAAGAGACAGCCUGCAAUUCUCAACAUAUUUGCAAAACAAAAUUAUUUUAGAUUUACUGUAAAACCGCAUAUGGUGGCACCAUUCUGUCCUGGGCACACCAGCUCAUAGCCCCAUCUGAUGCCCAGCUUCACCCCUGUGGCCUACAGAUGCAUCCAACUGUCACAGACUGAGCACGACAGACGUUUCCAUCAUCCCACCAAGUCUCCUUGCUCUGAUUCGAGACUCCUGCGGCUGCCUCCUGACUGUCAUUCCCAUGAGAUGUGCUUAUGGGAGAAAUGGGACUUAUCAUACAUUUCCUGCUAUUUGCCUAGUAAAGGAUUUUCUUAAUUUCAGUAAUUUCUUUAAGACUUAAGCUAAUGUAAUUCCUCUGAAGAGCCAAGAGAACAAAACAUAGGAAAAGAAGCACAAAGGAUUUGUACUGGAGUCACAUUCCAAACUCAUGGGUAACAUUCAGAAGUCAUCUAAAUGGAACAAGCCUUAAAUUUCAGAAUAUAUAAAGAAUCCAGGAAGACCCUUUUAAAAAGCAGGAAAUCAAGCCUUAUGUUAACCAGUUUUCUUUUACUGUAGAAUCCGAGGCUGUUUUACAGCUUUAUUAAAUGGUAUAUGCCUCAGGCUUUGCUUCUUAAUAAUUUCAUUUUCUCUGGAACUCUCACUCUGAACUAUUGUGGGAUCUAACAGCACACUGGAAUUUUAAGCAUGUGAGGAGGGUAAUUGAGAAAUUUAGGUUCUGUUUGCUUCCCCCGAUAUUUAAGAAAGCAAUUACAGACAUGUCUGGCACCAUUUAAAACCCAGAGCCUUACUCACCCUGAGCAGAAUGCAGAAUA